UUAGAACAAUCGUUAUUGUCCUUGUUGCUUCUUACUGCCUAACACGUGUCUGAGUGAAGACAUCUCUUCUUCUUCCUUAACGUAUCAUCGACUGGACUUUUAAUGGGCUGCUUAAUUUUGUAAACCCAUUAUGUACUCUUGUUGAUGUAUGUUGUCUUAUAUCAAUAAAAUUCAGAGAAAAAAAAAAGAAUAAUCGUUGUCUCAUCUUUAAAAAAAAAAAAAACCCACCGAACAAACGUAAGAACUUGGCUCGAUCGAAGAAUCAAUUGCGACAGCUAUUUCGUCUCCGUUUAUACUGUGUUGCAAAUCGUGAAUUCUUUAAAGAGGUCAAGUAUAAAUUGCGAGUAACCUAAAAAUGUGGAGGAGGCUAUAUCACGUUUUGUCAUUGGAGCUAUUCAAAAAUCUAUUGGUUGAAGAUUGCCAAAAUCUCAACCGACCGGAUCAAGCAAAGGAUCGAGCCCAUGAUCCGCGUGUCGACCCGCCAAAGAACCCCAUGAUCCGCGUGUUUAUUCGGUUCAGUAGCCCAAGAUCCGUGGGUUACUUCCUUUCAAAUUAUUGUUUUACCCUUUUAUGUGUUUUUUUUUUACUCUUAGAAUGCAAAAUUCUUAAUGGUAUUCUUUGUAAUUUUUUACCCUUUAUAAGGUUAUUUAUUAUCUAA